rnacentral:lncRNA from 1 species
CUUCCCCCCCCCCUUUUUUUUCUUUUCCUCCGGGAUGCUUGCAGACAAAUGCACGCCGCAGAACUUUCUCGCGAUCGACACGCAGAAAUAUAUAUUUUUUUCCUCUCUUUUAAAAAACAGAGGGAAACGGGGGGAAAGUAGCAUUAAACGAUUUCUAAAGCCCUUAAAAGAAAAUCCUUUUAGAGGCACCUUGGCCUCAAGCUGCAACAAAUACUGGGAGGUCCGAGCUGAAUUCCCAGGCUUGCAGAAAUAAUGACAGGGUGGUGGAUACUGCGGUAGAAAGUGCCAGAUUUUUCUCCCUCUCUCUUUCUUUUUUAACUAAAGAGGAGACUUGGUUCCUUGCAAGAAAACCACUCCGUCCAGUUAGAAAAACACAAUGAAAACUUAACACUUGAGGGAUUUAAAGCCGCGCGGUAGCUAGCCUGUUUCAACUUAGGGCUCAUUCUUUAACUGAAACCUGAGGAAAGCCACUUUUAAUAUGUUUUUAGUGUAAAAACCCGUGAAACGCAGCCUGCCUGGCCGCGCUAAACACUUCUCGCACUAUACGUGAUUGUUUACUUUUUUGGCACGGCUGCUCGCCGUCUCCGCUCAUUGAGGACCAGCCAUUAAUUGCGGCCGAUACAGCUGCGCGCCUCCCCCGGCGGCCGCGCGGCUCCCCGCCGAGGGGCUCCGCGCCCCGGUGCGCCCCGGGGACCAGGGGGGUGAAAAAACUGAACUAAGAAGAGAAAAGGAGCGGAGCGGGGGGCCCGCUUCCCCCGCCACGCCGCCCGUGCGGCGGAGCCUCCGUCGUGAAAUCGCCUAGGGGCACCCACCGGCGGGGGCUUGGCGGGGCCACGGCCGCCCGUGGGAGGUUUUGCGGGCUUUCCCCCCCCCAGGUCCCCGCGGCCGCCUGGUGGCCGCGGACGGCGAGUCCUGCCCCGUGGGGCCGUGCCCCGCGUGGGGCUGCCCGCAGGAGGGCUGCCGGCAGCACAUGUGGGCGCGCGGCUGCGGGAGGGGGAAGCCCACGGGGGCCGGAGCUGGAGGCGGCUUUCUGCUGGGGGCUGGAGCCCACACCUGGGAGGGAGGGAAAAAGGGAAGGAGGGAGGGAGGGAGGGAACGAGGGAGGCAGGCAGGCAGCCGCCUGUAACUCAAGUUUCAGCCGUGCAUCGCGCGAAGAGCCGACGUGCCACCAGCCCCCGGAGCUGCCCCCCGCCUCCUGCCUGCUCGGCUUCACACAACAGCCCAGUGACCCCCGGUCCUCGCUCCUGCUCCCAGAACCCAAUCUGAGGACUCAAAUUUAACAAGCGCUAUCUUAAUCUCCCCUCUCUCCCUGUGGUCUGGAGGGAUUUUAUUUUUUUUUUAAGCAUACACAAGAGAUGAAUUACUGCAGGGAUCUAAUUGGCCUUGUUUCUGUGUGUGUGUAUGUGUGUUUUUUUUUUUUCCCUCAAGGAAGAAGUGUCAGUGUAAAAGUCUCCACUUGGGUGGUCAGAGCAGUGGCUGCCCCCACUUUGCCUCAUAGCUGAUGCCUGCGUGCUACAUUCCCAGCGAUAAUGUUGUUCCUAAUCAAUCUGCCCUUAUUUACAUUUGUAAG